rnacentral:rRNA from 1 species
UGAGUAACACGUGUCCAACCUGCCGUCUACUCUUGGACAGCCUUCUGAAAGGAAGAUUAAUACAAGAUGGCAUCAUGAGUCCACAUGUUCACAUGAUUAAAGGUAUUCCGGUAGACGAUGGGGAUGCGUUCCAUUAGAUAGUAGGCGGGGUAACGGCCCACCUAGCCUUCGAUGGAUAGGGGUUCUGAGAGGAAGGUCCCCCACAUUGGAACUGAGACACGGUCCAA